rnacentral:rRNA from 1 species
CCUACGGGAGGCAGCAGUGGGGAAUAUUGCACAAUGGGGGAAACCCUGAUGCAGCGACGCCGCGUGAGUGAAGAAGUAUUUCGGUAUGUAAAGCUCUAUCAGCAGGGGAGAAACUGACGGUACCUGAUUAUGAAGCCCCGGCUACCUACGUGCCAGCAUCCGCGGUCAUACGUAGGGGGCACGCGUUAUCCGGAUUUACUGGGUGGAAAGGGAGCGUAGGCGGCAGCACAAGUCUGGAGUGAAAUGCCGGGGCUGAACCCCGGAACUGCUUUGGAAACUGUGGAGCUAGAGUGCAGGAGAGGUAGGUGGAAUGCGUGGUGUAGCGGUGAAAUGCGUAGAUAUUAGGAGGAACACCAGUGGCGAAGGCAGCUUACUGGACUGUAACUGACGCUGAGGCUCGAAAGCGUGGGGAGCAAACAGGAUUAGAUACCCCUGUAGUC